AUGCAGCUCUCCUUGACAACAAUUACACAAAAGCUUAUGUUAAACUUCAGUCUGUUGAAAGCGAUGGAUCCACUUUCUUCAAAGACUUUGGUGUUUCCAUGAGAAAAAUGGGAAGGGUUGAAGUUCUUACUGGUAAAGCUGGUGAAAUCAGGAAAGUUUGCAGCAAAGUUAAUUAACUAGACAAAGUUUAGUGUCAUUAUGGAAUAUAUUUUUCUUGUGUGCAUGGAAAGAUAUAUAUGGCUAGUGACAUGCAAUAAUUGUAUCAAGUGUGGAAAGCAAUUGAUUCAUUAAUCAAUAAUAGUAAGCGUAAAAUAAUGUUUUUUUCCAUUAAUUGUAAGACCUUAUAAGCUUUCAUAUGAAGUCUUGCAAGAUUAGUUUUUUAUUCUCUUUUAUUAAUUUUUGUCUAAUUGUUGUGCAUGCCAACCUCUCAAACCCAAUGAAACUGCAUCCAUUCCAUUUCUAAAUUGGACUGGCAAUUAAUGAAGCGAUACCGUUUAAAAUUAGUUGACAUGUUCAGAUUCUAAGUGACUUAGAUGUAAAAGAACAGGAAAUGAAGAAUUAUGAUAGCAGGAUGUAGACACUCGAUGAUUAAUAGCUUACAUUUUGUUGUUCAAUGGCAACAACUUUUUUUUUUUUUGGGUUAAAGAAUCAAAUCAAUUCAGAAAUUUAAAUUGUUAGAUAAAGUCUUAAGAUAUAGUUUAUAUUAUUAUCUAACAUAUCCCCUCAAAUGAAAACACUUUGGACUUGAAAUUUACUUAAAUUUACAUUAUCUUGUAUUUAACUUUUAUCAAAUAAAUAGGGAUGAUAAAAUUCGAAUUCGUGACCACUUGGUUAUUAAUACUCUGAUAUCAUAAUAAAGAACCAAUUCAAUCUAAAAACAUAAGUUGUUAAAUAAAAUCUUAAUAUAUAAUUUAUAUUAUUAUCUAACACCUUCUACGGAAAAGAGAAACAUGUGGCAGGCUCUGAUUAUGGUAAGUUACUACAAAUAUAAGACCUGCUUCGUGAAGACCAAAUUAAUUCACAUUGCAGAGAUCGAUUGCAGUAAGGAGUAAUAAGACUGAAAUUCCACUAUAUUAACCAGUUAAACAAUUUUUUAUCAAUUCGAACGCAAUUCUUGUAAUGUUUUUCCAGAUUUUUUUUAUGAACAACGAGUGCUUAAUUUGUACAGACGUUAGUCAACUGUGCAUGGCAAGGACAGAUGUUUUGAGAAACAAUGUUGGCAAGUGUCCAUUUAAUUUCACUCUGGCACUUGGACAACAAAAAUUAAUCUACAAAGAUUUGGAAUUAGAAGAAAAUCUAUAAACUAACAGAUUUUGAAAUUGCAGAAGAAGGGUUCUUGUUUAUUAUUUGUUACGAGAACCGUGAGCAACACACUCAAAAUACUCGCGUUCUUUUUAUAUACAAUAGGCAAUAAUUAUCUUUCCAUAAGAAAAGGCUGAGCAAUAUUCUUUUCAUUUACCUGACAGCCUCCAUACAGUCUUCAAGGAUGAUUUGCUUGAUCUUGAUCUAGUGUUUUCGGAUUGUACAGUUGUUGUUUCCUCAUCUGCGACACUGCCAUUCUGGCUAGAAUUUGUUGCUGUUGAAACACCUUCAUCACCAAACAGAUUUCUAUCUUUAUCACCCAACAUUUCUCCACUAAUAGAAGCAAAACUAUAGCUAGUGCUGUUUGAGUCUUCAGCUUUAUUACUC
rnacentral:lncRNA from 1 species